rnacentral:rRNA from 1 species
UACGUAGGCAGCAAGCGUUGUUCGGAGUUACUGGGCGUAAAGGGUGCGUAGGCGGCUUUUUAAGUUUGGUGUGAAAUCUCCUGGCUUAACCGGGAGGGUGCGCCGAAUACUGAGAAGCUAGAGUACGGGAGAGGAAAGUGGAAUUCCUGGUGUAGCGGUGAAAUGCGUAGAUAUCAGGAGGAACACCUGUGGUGUAGACGGCUUUCUGGACCGUAACUGACGCUGAGGCACGAAAGCGUGGGUAGCAAACAGGG